rnacentral:tRNA from 1 species
GGGUCGUUAGCUCAGUUGGUAGAGCAGCGGACUUUUAAUCCGUUGGUCACAGGUUCGAAUCCCGUACGGCCUA